AAUGAGGAGGCAGCGCGAGGGGGCGGGGCCAGCGCCGGGGUGGGGCGCGCGCGUCGCGGGCCGGGAGGGACUUCAGAGCCGGGUUUUGGGUAGGAGUGCGGAGGCAGCUUGUCGUUUCCCGGCCCGCACCCGCCCUUGCGCUGACACCGCGGGCCUUCCUUUGCUCUGGGAACGAGCGUGGGGAGCCCUGUUCACCCUCACACCCCGGCUCCAGAGCGGCGCGGAGCACUCCAUGUUUGCUAAAUGAAAAUGAAGUCUCGGCGCGAGCGCCACCCAAACGGCGACGUAGUUGCUUGAGAAAUAACCGCGGAGGCAACCGCUUGGGAAGGCGCCCCGACCCCGAAGCUGCUUCUCCAGGCGCCCGAGGCGGAGAGAAGGCACUGGGGUCUCCGUCUCCACCAGUGAGUUCUGGUGAAACAGGAAACAAAACCCGGGAAACAAAUGGGACGAAAUGUUGGCGGUUUUGAUGCUGGAUGAUGGGAAUAUGGGCGUGUGUUUUGUACGUUUCUGUUAUCUUCAGUUUUCUCAAAACACGAAAAACAGACUAAGAACAGCGUAUAGAAAACAUUGGGGCACAACUAAAGCUCAUAAAUGCACACGUUUUCAUAACCUGACCGAGGUCCGUGCUGCUGUAGCGCAUACCCCCAAAAACAGAGGUGCUGGGAGAGCAGGGGCCGCGUGUUCUUAUGGCCCCGGUGCCGGCCCCCAAGCGGGGUUCCCGCAGGAGAUAGGGCCUGGCUCCCGCUUCAGCACCGCGUGGCCUGGAGUGCAGUUCUGGCGGCCAAGAUCUGAGGGCUGUAGCCCGUGCCCUCCCCAGGAUCCCAGGGCGCGAGCUGGUGGCUUCUCAAGUGGAGUUUUGCCUGCUUGUUACAUUAGUGAAUGUAGGACCACUUGAGUAAAGGACCAAACCUUUAUUCUUUUGCUUUUCUGCUAUUGAAACCAUUCAACCCAUGCUGAUUAAUACCUACUGUUUGCCAGGUAAUAUGCCCCUUGCAGAAAGACGCAAACAGCUAAACCCCAAAUGUGGGAUGUUGUACAGGACAAAUGACCGUGUCAAUUAAUACCAAUAAUUAAGAUAAUAGUAUAAUUAUGAUGAUAAUAUAAUUAAUUCGAGCCUGGAGAAAAAAAAAGAAAGUGGAACUGAACUAUUAGAGAAUAAAUGAGCUUAAAAGACGUCAUUGAAUGGAAUGUGUGGAACUUAUUUGGAUCAUGAUAGAAUAAACUAGCUUAAACGGGGCAUUUGAGAGAUAGGUGGGGGAAAUUGGAAUAUAAAGCUGGGUAUUAGAUGAAAACUGGGAGUUAUCGAUACUUUUGGUAGGGAGCAGUAACGGCUGGUGGGUAAAAUGUCCUAACCUUUAGAGAUGCAAACGGAAGUAUUUACAGUAAAUUGCCCCUAUGUCUGGUAUUCGCUUUGUAAAUUCUCCAUGAAAAAAAAUUCAAGGACAGGUGAAACACAAGUGGCAAAUGUUAGUAACGGUUGAAGCUGGGUGAUGAAUGCCACAGGAGUUAUGACGAUUUUCUUUUGCAUAUGUUUGUAGUUUUCUGCGAUAAAAUUUAUUUUAUUUUAUAUAUAUAUUUUGAGACAGUCUCAUUCUGUUGCCCAGGCUGGAGUGCAGUGGCGCGAUCUCGGCUCACUGCAAACUCUGCCUCCCGGUUCAAGCGAUUCUCAUGCCUCAGCCUCCCUAGUAGCUGGUAUUAGAGGUGUGUGCCACCAUGCUUGGCUAAUUUUUUGUCUUUUUAGUAGAGACGGGGUUUCACCAUGUUACCCAGGCUGGUCUCGAACUGCUGAGUUCAAGCAGUCCGGCCUCCUCAGCCUCCCAAAGUGCUAGGAUUAGAGGCGUGAGCCACCACACCCAGCCUUUCUGCAAUAAAAUUUAAAAGUGUCUCGGCCAGGCACAGUGGCUCAUGCCUGUAAUCCCAGCACUUUGGGAGGCCGAGGCGGGUCGAUCAUCUGAGGUCAGGAAUUCGAGACCAGCCUGGCCAACAUGGUGAAAACCCGUCUGUACUAAAAAAAUACAAAAAAAGAAAAAAAUUACCUGGGCAUGGUGGCCGGCACCUGUAAUCCCAGCUACUCGGGAGGCUGAGGCAAGAGAAUCGCUUGAACCCGGGAGGCAGAGGUUGCAGUGAGCCGAGAUGGUACCACUGCACUCCAGCCUGGGCAAUAGGGCAAGACUCCGUCUCAAAAAACAAACAAAAACAAAACAAAACAAAACAGUAUCUCAUGUUUCUUAUUGGCUGUGACCAAGUAACUUCAUUGCUUUCAACCUUGGAUCUGCUCACCUGUAGAACUGAGACAUUAUUUGUUGUGAGAUUUAAAAAAGAAACAUGUUCAUUUCCUUCCUUUGGGGGUCGGAAGGAAUCAGAUGGGCGUCUUGCAGCUCCGAUCCUGAUGAAGAAUUGUAGCUGCUGUGCCUCAAGACAGAUAAGCACAGGUCGUCCCAGUGGGGAUGCCACCUUGGGGACUGUGAACCUCCGCUGAGGCCAGGCCAUGCCCUGCCCUGUGUCUGUAUCUGGAACUGCGGGAUUUCUCUGAUCUGCCAGGGAAAGGCCUGCCACCUCGUGGCCACUUCAGGAACUGCUCCAAAGGCAGUCUGCUCUUGGGAACCUACCUGGUGAGGUAGCUCCCUGAGGUCUGGAACUGCACCACAGUGCAAGUUAUCUUCACGUGGAGAUGAAGCUGCCUGUAUGGAAGACUCUUGGAUCAGUCGUCUGAGCACAUGUCCAGCAAUGGGCAUGGGUGGGCUAGCCAGGGACUGGGGGUGCCGGAAGAGCCGACUGUACAGCACGUGGUGCCCCUAACAAGGAUUGAGUGGUGUUUUUAAAAAGAAAAAAAGGUCGUGCAGAUGGUCUGACAGUCUGUCGACCGUGGGCGCGGUGCUCAUAGCAGCUGAGCACUGCCGGGGUACCAGGCUGUGUGCUGGGUGCUUCAAAGAUGUCCUCUUGUGGAUCAGCCCAUCUGUGGCGAGGAGGGGACCGGGCUCAGCCAGGUUAGGUGACUUGCACAAGGUCAUGUGGGUGAAAGGAAGGCAGAACUCUUGUGUAUUUCUCCUGACCCCAGAUUCUGCGUCAGGGCUGAAGCCAGAACCCACACGUGUCCAGCGCAGGGUGAUUGCUGCCAUGAGCUGCAUUGCUGUGAUCCUUUGGCGAGGGCGUGGAUUUUCAUCCUUUUAUUCAAUUUUGAAAGAAGCAAAUUUAGAAAGAUACGAUAUGAUGGGUGUGGCAGACAGAAUUCUAAAGGUGGGCCCACUGAUUCGUACCCCUGGCUGUUCAGUUAAACACUAGCCUAGGUGCUGCUGUGCAGGGACUUUGACGAAGGAAUGAAAGUCCCAAGCCAUCUGACCUUGAGAUCAGAGAUUAUCUGGUGGGCUUGACCUCAUGAGCCUAAUGAAAGCAGGGAGCUUUUCCAGCUGUCAGCAGAAAAGAAGGUCAAAUUCAAUGUGUGAGAAAGGCUGGAAUUAACAUUGCUGGUUUGAAGGAGGAAGGGGUUGUGUGAGAAGGUGUGUGAGUGACUUACAGGAGCAGAGAGUGGCCCCCAGCCAUGGAAUGAGGACCCCAGGUCUGCAGUCACCAGGAGCUGGACUUUCAGGACCACCUGAAUGCACCCGGAAGCGGAUUCUCCUCCAGAGCCUCCAGUUGCUAUAAUCAACAUCCCUGGACCCAUCGCGCAGAAGAAACUGAGGUUCCCAGGUUAAGAGACUUGCCUGGAAAAGGGUUAACUGACAGCUUGGCAGCAGAGCCACCGCUCCUUCCCCCUUGCAUGCUGUUUCCAAACCGAAAAUGAUGUUCUGGGCCUUGCAGAGAGGAGUGCUUGGUGAACAUUUGGUGGAGGAUACGGAAACCCACGUGGAUUCCAGGUGCUGACUUUUGUGCCACUACAGAGUCUAGCGUACAUUAGGAAGACGAUGCCAACCACCACCAUCUAUUGACUUACUCAACGUUUACUGCACACCUACUGUGUGCAGGGGUCCUGGGGACCCCAUAGAUGAAAACAUAAGCACAUGAUCAAAUGUAAAGCUGGGCUUCGUCUAUCACAGCGGGUACCAUACAGUUUUACAAUCGUGUACCUGUAACAACCUGGACAAGGCACGGGAUUGAUUUUCAAUUUUGUAAAACAGAGCAAAAGUGCUUUUAUUGAUGUUUCUUUUCUUUUUCCUGAGAUCUUAUGUCCCUAGACAGAACUAUAAAGUGUUUUUAUAUUAAAGAUCUGUGCCUCAGACUUUAAAAAUAUCUGUAGAAUGUGUAGUAAAGUUAUCCAUUUCAUUUGUGAUAAUGGUCAUUUUUAUUUUCUCUUU